rnacentral:rRNA from 1 species
CCUACGGGAGGCUGCAGUGAGGAAUAUUGGUCAAUGGGCUUACGCCUGAACCAGCAAAGUCGCGUGAGGGAAGAAUGCCCUAUGGGUUGUAAACCUCUUUUGUCAGGGAGCAAUUGGCGCUACGUGUAGCGUUAUCGAGAGUACCUGAAGAACAAGCAUCGGCUAACUCCGUGCCAGCAGCCGCGGUAAUACGUAGGAUGCGAGCGUUAUCCGGAUUUAUUGGGUGUAAAGGGAGCGUAGGCGGACUGCCAAGUCAGCGGUAAAAUCGAGGGGCUCAACCUCGCUCCGCCGUUGAAACUGGCGGUCUUGAGUGGGCGAGAAGUAUGCGGAAUGCGUGGUGUAGCGGUGAAAUGCAUAGAUAUCACGCAGAACUCCGAUUGCGAAGGCAGCAUACCGGCGCCCAACUGACGCUGAAGCACGAAAGCGUGGGUAUCGAACAGGAUUAGAUACCCUUGUAGUC